AACGCACAUUGCGCCCUCUGGUAUUCCGGGGGGCAUGCCUGUUCGAGCGUCAUUACAACCCUCAAGCUCUGCUUGGUAUUGGGUGCUACCUCUGGGUACAUCUUAAACUUAGUGGCGGUGCCGCCUGGCGUCAAGCGUAGUAACUUUCUCGCUCUGGAGCUUCGGUGUGCUCUUGCCAUCAACCCCAAUUUUCAAAGGUUGACCUCGGAUCAGGUAGGGAUACCCGCUGAACUUAA
rnacentral:misc_RNA from 1 species